rnacentral:sRNA from 1 species
CCCAGGGCUUUGCCCUGGGCUAGGAUAGCUCGCGCCUUCAGCGCG